rnacentral:lncRNA from 1 species
CAUAAUAAUUAAAAUUGUUUAAGUGCUUAAUAAAUGCUAAUUAGCUAACUGGAUUUUUUUUUUUUAGUUUGUUCCAGUUUUAUAUGAUUUUGACCAAGUCUCUUUAGUCCAGUGGGCCUUGGUUAGUUUCCUGAUCUGUGAAAUGAGAGGACUGGACUAGGAUGAUCUGUCAAGUACCUUGAAACUCUAAAAUUCUGCUAUUCCAUUAACUUCUGGUGCUUACUUAUAUUCCACAUCAAAAAAUGCCAGAAAGCUGAAGCUGGAGAGGAUUUUCAAGACAGUCUAGUCCAACCUCUUCAUUUACGGAUGAGGAAAAUGGGUCUCAGAGAUGAAGUGACUUCUCCAAAAUCACUAAAGUAGAAAUAAAUCCUCAAUAACAUUAUGAAGGAAGUUCUACUGGAAUUAUCAUUCCUAUUUUACAGAAAAGGAAACUGGGGCUCUGGGAUCCAACUCCAAGUCAUGCAACUAGCACCAGAGGCAGUAUUUGGAUCUAGAGCUUCCCAAGCUUCUAGGUACAUAUCAGACCAGCCCUUCUAAGGUAGAGCAAGGUUCAAAUGAAAGCAGGUAAGUUUUUAUAUUUCACUUAUUUUUGUAUUGCAUUCUGGACAGAAAUCAGUAGCAUUUGGAAGAUAUAUUUUCUCAAAGUACAUGGUAAGUCAAUAGCAAUAUAAACAAUGGGCAGUCAAAAAAGAUCAAAAGGGUGCCAAAUACAAGCUCUUAGAGGUCAAAGGAUUAGAAACUAGAACUCUGCUUUAAUACUCUUAUGAUUUAUUUCUGAAUACUGCCUUAUAAGUAUAACAUUGUAUAUUGAGAGGUUUUUCAGUACCUCAAGGUUGGAUUGAGACUCACAUUCUACUAAAUUCCACUUUAGGUAUUAUACGUGUGAAUGCUACACUUUUGAUUACAAAGCCACGAAAUGAGGGAGAUAUUUCUACUUUCAGAUUUCUAAUGAAAAUAUUUGUGUAUAUAAUGGAGGGACAACU